GGAUCUCCCAACCAAAGCCUUCGGCCCGCGUCGUAGCUUCGCCCCGGCUUCGACCCAGCCGAGGUCUCCAAUGCGGCGCUUCUUCCAUCGCCCCGGAUCGAUGCGGGUCUUCAACACCGCGUUGGAGAUGCUCUAACUUCACCCCUCCUCCGCUGCCUGCCGCAGGAAAAAAACAGCGGCAGAGUCCACUUGCCGCCACAUCCGUCGCCCAAGACGGUGGUGGAAAUGCCGACUUCCGAUCGUUUUAGCAGAGGAUGAUCCGUUGAGGUUCCUCUGCCGCCGCAAGUAUGAAAUAAAUUAGUUGUUGCUGCUUCGUCUUCGAGGUUGUUGUUUUUUGGCCUACCUUUUUAACUAGAUCUUUACUGAUUGUAAGCUCCAGAUAUUUCUGUAAAAGCGCAGAGUUACUAGCUCUUCAGUUCGUGAUUCUCAGGUCCGGCAGGCGGCAGCGCCGCCGCAUCGGGCUAUCCAGCAACUACAAUAAGAGGAGAAGAGGGAGGGAGAGAGAGAUGUCGUCGGAGGAGGCGGCAACUACUUUCUCAGAGACAUGGAGCGAGAGAUUGAGAGUAGAUUUUUUUUUUAAUACAAAUGGGUCAGGGUCAACAAUGUGGGCAGGAUACAAUGCGGAUGUAUGGUACACUUGAAUGUACAAGAUAUUUUGUGUUAUUUUUAAUAUUGAACAUCAUGUUCUUUUUUCAUUUUAUUUUCAUUUGUUU
rnacentral:lncRNA from 1 species